rnacentral:rRNA from 1 species
UACGUAGGGUGCAAGCGUUAAUCGGAAUUACUGGGCGUAAAGCGUGCGCAGGCGGUUCGGAAAGAAAGAUGUGAAAUUCCAGAGCUUAACUUUGGAACUGCAUUUUUAACUACCGGGCUAGAGUGUGUCAGAGGGAGGUGGAAUUCCGCGUGUAGCAGUGAAAUGCGUAGAUAUGCGGAGGAACACCGAUGGCGAAGGCAGCCUCCUGGGAUAACACUGACGCUCAUGCACGAAAGCGUGGGGAGCAAACAGG